rnacentral:misc_RNA from 1 species
GAUGAAGAACGCAGCGAAAUGCGAUAAGUAAUGUGAAUUGCAGAAUUCAGUGAAUCAUCGAAUCUUUGAACGCACAUUGCGCCCCCCAGUCUUCUGGCGGGCAUGCCUGUUCGAGCGUCAUUUCAACCAUCAAGCCCUGCUUGUGUUGGGGUCCUGCGGCUGCCCGCAGGCCCUGAAAACCAGUGGCGGGCUCGCUAGUCACACCGAGCGCAGUAGCACAUCUCGCUCAGGGCGUGCGGCGGGCUCCAGCCGUUAAAGCACCCACCUUUCGCAAGGUUGACCUCGGAUCAGGUAGGAAUACCCGCUGAACUUAAGCAUAUCAAUAAGCGGAGGA